AACGAACGCUGGCGGCAGGCUUAACACAUGCAAGUCGAACGCCCCGCAAGGGGAGUGGCAGACGGGUGAGUAACGCGUGGGAAUCUACCCAUCCCUACGGAAUAACGCAUGGAAACGUGUGCUAAUACCGUAUACGCCCUACGGGGGAAAGAUUUAUCGGGGAUGGAUGAGCCCGCGUUGGAUUAGCUAGUUGGUGGGGUAAAGGCCUACCAAGGCGACGAUCCAUAGCUGGUCUGAGAGGAUGAUCAGCCACAUUGGGACUGAGACACGGCCCAAACUCCUACGGGAGGCAGCAGUGGGGAAUAUUGGACAAUGGGCGCAAGCCUGAUCCAGCCAUGCCGCGUGAGUGAUGAAGGCCUUAGGGUUGUAAAGCUCUUUCACCGGAGAAGAUAAUGACGGUAGCCGGAGAAGAAGCCCCGGCUAACUUCGUG
rnacentral:rRNA from 1 species